GACGAACGCUGGCGGCGUGCUUAACACAUGCAAGUCGAACGGUAAGGCCUUUCGGGGUACACGAGUGGCGAACGGGUGAGUAACACGUGGGUGAUCUGCCCUGCACUUUGGGAUAAGCCUGGGAAACUGGGUCUAAUACCGAAUAGGACCAUGGACUUCACGGUUUGUGGUGGAAAGCUUUUGCGGUGUGGGAUGGGCCCGCGGCCUAUCAGCUUGUUGGUGGGGUAAUGGCCUACCAAGGCGACGACGGGUAGCCGGCCUGAGAGGGUGACCGGCCACACUGGGACUGAGAUACGGCCCAGACUCCUACGGGAGGCAGCAGUGGGGAAUAUCGCACAAUGGGCGCAAGCCUGAUGCAGCGACGCCGCGUGAGGGAUGACGGCC
rnacentral:rRNA from 1 species